CUUCCUCUGUGAAAUCAAUAAAAAUAUAUUUUAAAAAUAGACAAACAUAUGGGAUAGAUUAAAAUUGCCAUGAUCUGAAGAGGGAGGAUUUAUUUGUGUCCUCCUCCUAUAUGAAAUGGCUGAACAGAAAAAA
rnacentral:snoRNA from 1 species